UGCGAAACGAAUUUAUUAGAAACUUCGGAAUUUAUUACUCCGGUCACAACUAAUGUCUCUUUUUAAAUAAUCUAGUUUUUCUUUUUUUUGAUGUAUUUUCGCUUCAUUGUUCAUGAGCACAAA